rnacentral:misc_RNA from 2 species
AACGCACAUUGCGCCCCCUGGUAUUCCGGGGGGCACACCUGUUCGAGCGCCAUUUCUACCCUGGAGCCCUGCUCUGUGAUGGGCCCUGUCCUCGCGGACGGGCCUGAAACCCGUGGGCGCCGUUGUCUGGUCCCGAGCGUAGCAAGAGAAAUCCCUCGCUCGGAGCAUCAGGCGGUGGCCGCCCCGACCCAUUUUUACAAGGUUGGCCUCGGAUCAGGUGGGGAUACCCGCUGAACUUAA